rnacentral:precursor_RNA from 8 species
UCAGACAGUGAUCAGUGCCAGUCAUGUUUCUCUUCAGGUUUGCCACUUCACAGAGAGUUUGUGUUGCUUGAAGUGUGUGAAACUGCAGCGGUGCAGGCUGUGCCUUUGAUGUUCCCUGUGC